rnacentral:rRNA from 1 species
CGAACGGGUGAGUAACGCGUGAGCAACCUGCCUAUGACAGUGGGAUAGCCUCGGGAAACCGGGAUUAAUACCGCAUAAAAUCGUAGAAACACAUGUUUUAACGGUCAAAGAUUUAUCGGUCAUAGAUGGGCUCGCGUCUGAUUAGCUAGUUGGCGAGAUAACAGCCCACCAAGGCGACGAUCGGUAGCCGGUCUGAGAGGAUGAACGGCCACAUUGGAACUGAGACACGGUCCAA